rnacentral:tRNA from 1 species
UUAGCUCAGUUGGUAGAGCGCCACCCUUACAAGGUGGAUGUCGUCGGUUCGAUCCCGGCA